rnacentral:sRNA from 1 species
AUGGGAUUAGAUACCCCAGUAGUCCUAGCCGUAAACGAUGGAUACUAGGUGUAGCUUGUAUCGACCCAAGCUGUGCCGUAGCUAACGCGUUAAGUAUCCCGCCUGGGGAGUACGCGCGCAAGCGUGAAACUCAAAGGAAUUGACGGGGGCCCGCACAAGCGGUGGAGUAUGUGGUUUAAUUCGAUGCAACGCGAAGAACCUUACCAGGACUUGACAUGUCGCGAAUCUUACUGAAAGGUAGGAGUGCCUUAGGGAGCGCGAACACAGGUGGUGCAUGGCUGUCGUCAGCUCGUGUCGUGAGAUGUUGGGUUAAGUCCCGCAACGAGCGCAACCCUCGUUUUUAGUUGCCAUCAUUAAGUUGGGCACUCUAGAGAGACUGCCGGUGACAAACCGGAGGAAGGUGGGGAUGACGUCAAGUCAGCAUGCCCCUUACGUUCUGGGCUACACACGUACUACAAUGCUACGGACAAAGGGUAGCAAGACAGCGAUGUCAAGCCAAUCCCAUAAACCGUGGCUCAGUUCAGAUUGCAGGCUGCAACUCGCCUGCAUGAAGGCGGAAUCGCUAGUAAUCGCAGGUCAGCACUACUGCGGUGAAUACGUUCCCGGGCCUUGUACACACCGCCCGUCACACCAUGGAAGCUGGCUUAGCCCGAAGUCGUUACCCUAACUGUAAGGAGGGGGAUGCCGAAGGCAGGGCUGGUGACUGGGGUGAAGUCGUAACAAGGUAGCCGUACCGGAAGGUGUGGCUAGAUCACCUCCUUUUAGGGAGACCUUACCCUUCUAACUCUGAAUUGAGUAAGAGUAGAUAGAGGUUAUCUCAAGGUCGGUCGAGGUUAUAUGUGUUAGCUUCCAAAUUUUGCUCUGGUUUUAAUUAACCAGUACGGGCUAUUAGCUCAGAUGGUUAGAGCGCACCCCUGAUAAGGGUGAGGUCCCUGGUUCGAGUCCAGGAUGGCCCACCUUUGCUAUCGCUAGGGGGUUUAGCUCAGUUGGUAGAGCGCCUGCUUUGCAAGCAGGAUGUCAGCGGUUCGAGUCCGCUAACCUCCACUGAUAAAUUUCAGCAACUCAUGAUGUCUAACAGAGACUUCAUAGCCUGCUGGAUAUUUUAUCCAGUCAGAACCUAGAAAACUGCAUAAAGAUUAGUCAGGUAAGUAGUAACCACUGAAGAUUGAGCAAUCAAUUCUUGUAGUGGCUUUACAGACAAUACCAAACAAAAAUACUUAGAAAUAAGUGGUCAAGCUACAAAGGGCUAAUGGUGGAUACCUWGGCACACAGAGGCGADG